UUCUAUGGCGGCUGUGCCAGGGCAUCUUCGGAUGCACCGGUUUUAGCUCACCGGACGACUAACCUGCGUACAGCCGCCACCCUA
rnacentral:antisense_RNA from 1 species